CCGUAUUGAAGUCCGCUGCGCGAUUUAACCCUCCAAUCCAUCUCGGCCAAUCCAUGAGCUCAUUUCUAUUUUGGAAGUUGCCCGCUCGCGAUCCGCGCCUCGUUAUCAUUGGCCAGUUCCAAACACUUGGCGAGCCACGCGGGUUGACGUCCCCCAACUGGCGGCUAGCUAACGUCAGACUCCAAUGAAUGUGCAUUUGUUGCAAUGACCUGCACAAAAAGAAGUCCCGGUCCCGUCGUACCACCAAAGAAGGGACCGGGGAGGAAUAAACGUUUUCCGUACGCACGUGUGUUCGAAUCAGACGCGACAUGCAGGAAGUGAAGGAGGAACUGCGGGCCGAGAGAAACAAACGACAGACGCUGCAGGAGGAAGUCCACGUGUUGAGGAUGAAUCAUUAAUCUCAAAGCGCAACGGAUCACGCAGCAAGCCCCUGGACCGCAAACAAGCUCGCUAAGCAAGGACCGCAUGAAACCUCCUGACAAUGUCGCGCCAUUAAAUUGAUCGGUGCGCAAAUUUGAAGGGGCAAACAAAGUUUGUUCUGCCAGGCUUGCUCUCGUUUCUUUUUCAUUUUCCCCUUUUUUUUGUUUGAAUAAUCGACGAGAAGAGAAUAUGCACUGUGUGAGAAUUUUGGGGGGGGUGAUUCUAUGCAAGUCGGGUCACAUUGACCCUUGUUAGUAAGAAGCACCGCAGGAGGGCAAAAUGUCUUUUUGUUGUCUCUCGUUUAUAUCAGUAUACGUGUCCUGGCUUUUAUUGUAUGACAUUUACUCAUAAGAUGCAAUAAGAACAGAGGAGAAAAUGUAUUUUCUGUAUUCCGUUCAUAGUUUUGUUCGCAUUUGUCCAAGGAUGCCAUUCUCAUAAUCUCCACGUGGGGGAGCCAUUGGGCUCAUAAAAGAUUCCGUUUU